UUUCCCAUGUCCCUUUACUAGAAGACAGACAGGAAGGGGGGGCAGAGAGAGAGGGGAUGACUAGCAGGAAAUGGCUGCAGGUUGGACUUGAACCCCCGGGCCGCUGUGGCAAGGACUCAGCCUCGGUACAUGGGUCGCCAGCUCUACCCACUGAGCCAACCAGGCGCCCUAUAAAGUGAACCAGAUGCUGAGAUAUCGGCCAAUCAAUAUCAUUUUUAAAGUUUUCUAGUGUGCCUGUAAAAUCAAGAAGGCCUUGCGACUCUCCAUGAAGCUUUGGGGACCCCUAUGUUGGGAACCAGUGGUUUAGACUAACUCUCAUCUCCCAGCUCUAAUCAUUGAGAUUGUACAGAUCACAUUAUGUCUUUAGAAAUCAUAUCAAAAAUCUAAAUACCCUGCUCACCUAUGUACCACCCACACAGAUGUUUUCACUUAUUUUGCCUGAUUAGAUCUCUUAUCAGGCAUGUGCUGACUUUUGUUAUACCUGAUAGGAUGGGACAACUUCCAUCUUCAUCAUCCUUAUUAGAAUAUUUCAGUGACCUCAAAUGAAAUCUAGCAAGAUAUAUAUGUAUAUUAAUGCAGAUGGUCUUACAGUUGUGUCACAAUGAACUAUCAGUUCGUUACAGUGUUUUACGUGUUUUCUUUGUAUUUUUUCCCUACAAAAUACACAGGGUUGUUAAAAAAAAAGUGGUAAUGAUGGCAGAGGUAUGUUUACUUAUGUCUUUCCCGAAGUGUACAGUGACCACAUCCACUUUAAGCUCUGUUGUUGUAAUUCCUCCUGGUUGCCAACAGAGGUCUAUAAAGAUCAUAGAUUAUUUUACGUUUCUAUACAUACAAUGUUAAAGUAUAUAAUGCUAAAUGUUAAAGUCACAGAAAAAUGGCACUUCAAGAGCUGCUUGCUUACUAAAUGUCUUGUGUUUUUAUGUAUUUUCUGACUGUGGAAGCAGGAUAUUAGUAUGACAGACAGAGGACUUACACAGAAACAUGUGAUGUUUUAUGGGUUAGAAUUAUGUAUGCAUGUAAUGAUGCUGUAAAAGUAAUAUAAUUUUUAUACAAAAUGGAAAAAGGACAUGAAAAAGGAAAACCUUACUGCUCAUUGUAUUGUGUCGUGAAUAUUCUUUAGGUUAGUUUAACCUGGUUGAAUAAUUUCAUGAAUGCUCGGGUCAUGUAAUUAGCAGAUUCAGGUGGAUCUCUCAGCUCUGUUUGUACAGUAUGAACCAUCUAUUGCUCCUCUUUUUUGUGCUAAUUUUUUUUCCUGCUCUGUCCAAACUCAGAAGUUGCCAACCCACUAAGGAACUGCAGGCGAUUAAGUGUGGAGGAUGAGGAUAAUUACAAGCUUGCUAUAUUCAGAGUCCCCAGUACCCACAGUCUGCCUGCCAUCCACACUCUCAGCACCCCUGCUGGGGAGAGUAUGAGGAAAUGAUCUGCUCCGCUCACCAGUCCUGAGAUGUAGAAAAACAAUAGCUGACCCAGAUGAGCAAGCACUGUGAGGCAAAAACUUACCUGUGAUCUAACCGCAGAUGUAGACACAAAAUAAGAGUGAAUGAGCUUGUCAGUCUAGAAAAUGGAUCUUUAUAUUGCAAAGAUCGUAAGAAAGGUCAAGGCAGAUCAAUAACCUCACUUUGUAUUAUUGUAUGUAAGUGUACGUGUAAGUGUAUCAUAACCUUGUUAAGAGGAUGUGCAUGUUGUGAACCUAUACAGUAUAUAGUGCUGAAACAAUUAGUUAGAAUUAGAAGUUUUUAUAGUUGAUCAGCCACUUGAGUAAUUUUUCAAGCAAAAAUACCAAACAUUGACAUAUUCUGAAGACUUCUCUCUAUUUUAUAAUUGUAUAUGAAAUAUUUUGGUGGUUUUGGACUGUUUAUCAGAUAAAACCAGCAACUGAAACAUA